UGUGGAAUUUUGGCCACUGUGCGCAAGCCUGAUCCAGCCAUGCCGCGUGCAGGAUGAAGGCCUUCGGGUUGUAAACUGCUUUUGUACGGAACGAAAAGACUCUGGUUAAUACCUGGGGUCCAUGACGGUACCGUAAGAAUAAGCACCGGCUAACUACGUGCCAGCAGCCGCGGUAAUACGUAGGGUGCGAGCGUUAAUCGGAAUUACUGGGCGUAAAGCGUGCGCAGGCGGUUAUGUAAGACAGACGUGAAAUCCCCGGGCUCAACCUGGGAACUGCAUUUGUGACUGCAUAGCUAGAGUACGGCAGAGGGGGAUGGAAUUCCGCGUGUAGCAGUGAAAUGCGUAGAUAUGCGGAGGAACACCGAUGGCGAAGGCAAUCCACUGGGCCUGUACUGACGCUCAUGCACGAAAGCGUGGGUAGCAAACA
rnacentral:rRNA from 1 species